AUCGAGGCCUACAACACUGGCAAAUACCUGCGCAUCUGCGUGCUAUUGCGCACGCGAAUAUAUAGCACGCUAAUGAUACUACAUACUCUUAAACAUAACUCAACAAAGCCAAGAUAAUUACCAUCAUGACACGUUCAAGCGAUAUUUGUCGUUUGGUUUUAGGCCAUCUUGACUGCCACAUUACGGUAGAGAAGAACCAGGAGCAGAUUCUCUAUGUAGGAGAGCAAUGGAACUCCAGGAUACACGAGCAAUUUACCAAUGUAACGAUGAAAGGAAUCAAGGGCUGGGGUGUUACUGAGUACCUAUACAGAAAUGACGAUGGCUGUCCAGUUCCACUGCAAACGUCACUUCCAAUGUUAAAGGAACUUGAGCACGUCAGAGAUAGAGGAGUUUUGACAUUGUCUUUCGAUGCAUCUGUGUGUUCUGCUUCUCUGCUGGUUGGUGGCAAGGGAACCCAACUGGCCUUACUAAGCCAACUCAUGACCGACAGCAAGUUCCUCGUUCCACGCGGCUUUUGUCUGACUGUGGCUGCCUACAAAAAGCACCUGCAUAACAACAGGACUUUGCUCGGCUGCAUUCAAAUGCUGGAGGACGUGGCUUAUCGACGGAAGCAGGGUGAUUUGUACGAGAUCACGAAAUCCAUCGUGGAUGGUUUUAACGCUACACAACUGAGUGAAGAGACGCAGAAAGCGGUUUUUCAGCAAGCGAGUAAGCAGUUUGGCGACGCAUGGGAGCAGACGACAUUUGCUGUGCGUUCGUCUGCAGUCGGAGAAGACGGCGCCGAUGUGUCUUAUGCCGGUCAAAUGGAAACCUUUCUCGGAGUCAAAGGACGAAAUGAGUUGGCAAACGCGAUCGUGCAAUGCUGGGCAUCUUCAUUCACAUAUCAAGCUAUGGAGUACAGGAGGAAUCACGGUCAGGCUGUAGCAGCAGAUAUGGGGGUCUGUGUGCAGGAGAUGGUGCAGGCAGACGCUGCCGGUGUACUCUUCACGAGAGAUCCAGUGUCUGGCAACCCAGGUGUCAUGGCUAUCAACGUGUCAUACGGUCUUGGAGAAGCGGUUGUGUCCGGAGUGACGGAGCCAGACACAAUCUACCUGCAGAGAAGUUUCUACGAUAAGCUAAGCAUUAAGGACAAGGUCCUGGGAAGCAAAAAGACGCAGAUGGUCGUUGACAGUCAGGCUGGGGGAGUGAAAGAAAUUGAGACGGCAUAUAGCAACGAAUGCUGUCUAACUGAUAUAAUUGCUAUAGAACUUGGAAGGAUUGGUAUACUGGUAGAACAUUCGUUCUCUGAUCCGCGAGACAUAGAAUUCGCUGUGAAAGAUGGUCAGAUCUACCUUCUUCAGGCAAGACCAAUCACCUUCCUCAAUAUUGAGUCCGAUUACGAACUCAUGCAUGAGCAAGAUGGCCCUGUCAUCGCCGACCAAGAUUUGUUUACAACGGCUAAUGCUGGAGAAAUGAUGCCUCAAGCAAUGACCCCCCUCACAGCGGACCACUUUCUACAAGCUCUGACAAGUCUUGUACAUUUAAUGCACCAGGAAUAUUUUUGCCUAUACCGCCAGGCGUCCUUCACGAUGACGCAAGUAGGUGCCUGCUUCAGUGGUCACUUCAUGCUCAAUAUGCUAAACGGCCUUUAUAACAUGAACGAGUACACGGUUGGAUUAGACACCGAGAAAUCAUGUGCAUUCGCUGACACCAUGAUGUUUGGACGGUCAUUUGGCCGUAAAUAUUUGCCUAUAAUUCGACAGCGCUAUCACAUGACUUACGUACCAUUUUACAAGAAGAUUCUUGGUAAAUUGCGAGCGUACAGAGACCCACUCCGUGCGAAGAACAUUGUUGAACGCGCGAAAAUGGAAAUGUCCAACAUGCGCAUAGACGUCACCCAUACGGACGUGAACAGGAUGUUCAAUGAACUUGAGAAGGGCUUUCACCCUGCAUUUGUCGCAUGGAACUACCAUAUAAGGACUUCCGGUACGUCUGCUAUGUGGUCGAACAUCAUGCGAAUGGUCCUCGAGCGAGACUCGUCCAGUAAGCGCAUAGACGACGUGUCCAGCAGCUCAAUGUCGGACGUCGCCAUGCUGCUGUCGACGUGCCCGGAUGUGCUCAGCGCCGACGUUCCUUCCGCUCUCCGCAGCAUGGCGCGGGCUGUAAUUAACAACGGGAGAGCCCCCUUCUUCCACUCACUGAUGCCUGAGACAGCUGUGCAGUGGCUCCGAUCAGAUGCUAGUGGCGAACUCAAGCAGAUGUUUGACCAGUUUAUGAAUGCGCACGGACACAGAUGUGUGAGAGAGGCUGAACUUAUGGAAAAGCCAUGGAGAAUGGAGCCAGAACAAGUCGUUAAGACAAUACAGGAAAUGACAAAAUCUCCGAGCCAGCUGACAGAAACAAAGAAGUACAUGACCGAAGAAGAAGCACUUGUGAAUAUAAAAACACCGCUUGGUUUCAUCCAGAGGAAAAUAAUUCACUUCCUACUGCCGAGGGCUAGACAAGCUGUCAGUUACAGAGAAGCGACAAAGGGCACUGCCAUCAAAGGCACGGACAACAUGAGACAAGGCUAUCGCAGAUUGGCUGAGCUGCUCGAACAGGAAGGUCGUCUACCUGACAGAGAGCUGAUCUUCUUCUUCACGCACAGCGAGAUUCGCAAGCUGAUCGCGACUCGGUCGGCCAAACUCAUCAACAAGGCAAUGCGUAGGAGAAAGCUGAUGCCGACAUUGAUGGCUAUGCAGUUUCCAAUGGUCAGCGGUGGCUUACCUGAACCAAUCGAGGACGAGUUUAAUGAAGAGGAUGCAUUAAUCACAGUGAAACUCUCAGGCAUGCCAGUAAGCCACGGCGUCGUGAGGGCGAAAUGUCGCGUCGUGAAAUCAUUAGAGGAUGCUGCCAGCAUUCAGGAGCAGUGGUAGCACGGGAAUAUGGACUACCAUGUCUGGUAUCUGCCGAAAAAGCUACGAUCGUCUUUACCACAGGUGAGGAGGUAAUACUUGACGGAACCCUAGGUACUAUAGCAAAGGUGUCGCAUAAAACACACAGCGACACGGUGGCGAGUCCAAAUACA
rnacentral:misc_RNA from 1 species